UACGUAGGGUGCGAGCGUUGUCCGGAAUUAUUGGGCGUAAAGAGCUUGUAGGCGGUUUGUCGCGUCUGCUGUGAAAAUCCGGGGCUCAACCCCGGACUUGCAGUGGGUACGGGCAGACUAGAGUGUGGUAGGGGAGACUGGAAUUCCUGGUGUAGCGGUGAAAUGCGCAGAUAUCAGGAGGAACACCGAUGGCGAAGGCAGGUCUCUGGGCCACUACUGACGCUGAGGCGCGAAAGUGUGGGGAGCAAACAGGAUUAGAUACCCCU
rnacentral:rRNA from 1 species